AGUGCGUCACGUAAACCUUCAGCUUCACCAGCCGGCCACUUCGUCUACCACAACGACGAUGACGUCUCCUCCGUGACAGCAGCGCAGGAACCCGGAACAGGUGACUCGGAAUCUCCGACAGAAGCGGGGGCAAGGAUUGUUGGCCAGCAACAUCGAAUAACAGCAUAUUCUGGGCCACAGGUCUAGUAAUGUGUUGCGAUCAGACACCAGCAGGGACUCCGUAGAUGACACAGCUGCUGCUGAGCUGUAACCACUCACACCUGAUCGUCAUCACCUGGAUCCCCAGCUGCUACCAUAUAAGGACUGAUCUUCCCCCUGCACGACGUCAGAUUGUUGUGAAACCCUCAGCGUUACCUCUCCUGUCCCUGAUCCUGACCCCCACCUCUGGUUCUGGACCUCCCGGCUUCGACCCCCUGUCUGUCUGACCCCGAGAUCUGGAACCUGUUUUGACCUGGAUUUGGACCCGCUGGCUCUGACCCCCCUGUCUGUCUGACCCCGAGAUCUGGAAUUGCCUGACCCUCAUUUGGAUUCCCUGGUUCUGACCCCGGCCUGUCUGACCAAGAAAUAGUUUAUCUCCUAAAUAAACACCUGAUUUUGUA